AACGUGAUAAUUUGUACGUCGCUCUGGAUAAGAGCGUCUGCUAAAUGACUUAAA
rfam:Salmo salar isolate Sally breed double haploid chromosome ssa12, whole genome shotgun sequence.